UAUUGGUAGAUUUUAGUAGAAUGUCUUCAGAAACGGCUGUUCUCAUGUGACAUUUUCUAAAACUAUGAAGGCAGUUUUACUCAGAAAACAUCAGGGGUGCGAUACUUCUGUUCCAGACACUCUACUAAACGCAUAUGAUUUACUAUGGAUGUCGUGUAAUGGACUGUUGCAGUCAAAACAGAUGGAUGUCAUCAUUGCUGGAUCAAAAUCUACAUUGCCAUAACAAAAACAAGAUCAUGGGUGCCACAGUCAAUUUUUCAGGGGCUUGCAGGAAAAAAACUCAAAAUUGCACAGUUGGAAUCCUUGCAAAGAAAUCUGUAGGCAGUGAGUGAGCAGGGCCUCACUGGACCAACCCAAAGAGGCAGAAAAUUACUCUCCUGAACCUUUAAAGUACCCCAAUGGUACCAACCUCAUCACAACAAUUGAAUCUCUACCUUCAAAAAAUGCCCUAAGACACUCUUCUGUGAGCACUUGAAUAAUAACAUUGAAUGCACAUACUGUACUCUUUUACUCUUUUGAUAUGCCUGGAGUAUGAAUGUGUAUGUAAACACAUUCUUUAACUUACACAGUAAACAACAAAUCAUGCGUAUUAAAGGGGUCAUGACAUGCCUUUUUUGUUAUUUGAUUGUGUUCCUUGAGGUUCACUUAUAAUAUUAGUAAAGCGUUUUUGCACAAAAACAGUCAUUUAUUUGUAAAACAUGAUAAUUUCCCACCCUCAUUCUGACCCUCUGUCAGAAACGCUCAGUUUUGGUGUUGCCUCUCCUUUAAGACUUGACAAUAAAUGCCCACUGUUAUGAUUAGCUCUCUGCUCUUGACUGACCUGCUCACUCCUUGACAUCUCACUGCUCACCGCUGCUGGGCGAGGCUACAGAAGUGAUUAAAGUAUGUAAGUGUUGAUGUGUUGUUGUGGAGGCGGUCAGAUGUAAAUGUAUACCACAGUGUAACAUUUCAAUGUGGAGGAAGUAGAGAACGAGUCGUUUUGGCAGCUUGGUCCCAUGACAGUUUGAGAGAUAGCACCUGCUAUAGGCAGCAUUCCUCACUUCCAAUGAAACAUCAGAAAUAAUAUAGAAUGAUAUUUGAGCACAAAAGAACCAGAUUCGUGAUAAAGGAGAACAAGAAAAGAGCAAUUUUGAUCAGACAACACAGCAAACUUUUCCCUUUCUUACUAAAGAGUAUAUGAUUUGACAAAUCACGACUCUGAAACAAACAUGCACACACAUAGAGUGGGGUCAUUCCUUAUGGUGUGUGUCUGACAGUGUGACAUUUUCAGAGCCCAGCCAGUGAACCGCUGGCAUUUUAAAACAGAUCACACUCAGGGCAGAGGCUAGGAUUUAAACUCCCCCUUGGGAAAAAAAGAAUUUACCAGAGCAAAUAUUCUUCAAAUCACAAACUUAUAAUUGCAUUAGAUACAAUUUUGACACUGAUCAGUGUGUUUACAGUAACUAAUGAAAAAUAUAACAUUUUGACCAAUAAAUUGCCAUGGCUUUUCCUUGACUUUCCCUGUCAGUCAUGAUAACUUAGAAGUAUUUUUUUAUUUUUUUUUAAUAAUUCUAUAAAGAUUACACUCACAAAAAGCUAUUUGUAUAGGAUGAAAUAAUGUAAAACUGAACAUAAGUAUAAAAGUAUAUUUUCACUAUUGAAAUUUCCAGACAUGGUGAUUACAUUAAAUUGUAAGUUUCCCUGACAUUUUUAGAUUUUCCAUGUCUGUAGGAACCCUUUGUAUUAUGUGAGAAUAAUAUUGUUUGCAUUUGCAUUUUUGCUGUUGGGAGAACAGGAAUGCAAUACUAACCACAUCAAACUUACACUGUAUGCUCUUGAGGGAAGAAUACUGACUUGAUUAAUUGGUAGCUCAACAGAAAAGCUUCCAAACACAAAUUGGCAUAAUGCCUCAACAGGUUCCGUGCUGUUAUAUGGAUGAAUCCAAAUGCAUUAAAUCAUGAUUUGUUUUGUGAUAAUUAUAAACCUCACCUCAUUUACUUGAAAAGCUCAAUUUUUGUGGAAAAUAUAAUCCUUUUGUUAAAACAGAGGAUAACUUGGCUCAGUUUAAAUGCUUUGUAUCAACAAUUUGCACAA